rnacentral:sRNA from 1 species
GAGGCCUGCACAUCCUCGUCGAAAGGUCCUGCCGCAGGUCGCGUAUGGGAGCCCCGGAGCACCGGGGCUCCUGCUUUU